GGUCCUGUAGUGUAGUUGGUUAUCACUUCGGAUUCUGACCGACAUCAGAACAUUCCGGCGACCCCGGUUCGAAUCCGGGCAGGACCU
rfam:Clohesyomyces aquaticus strain CBS 115471 BCR34scaffold_29, whole genome shotgun sequence.